rnacentral:rRNA from 1 species
AGCAGCCGCGGUAAUUCCAGCUCCAAUAGCGUAUAUUAAAGUUGUUGCAGUUAAAAAGCUCGUAGUUGAAUUUCGGGAUUAGUGCGCCGGUCGUGCCUUCGGUAUGUACUGGUGUUACUGGUUCCUACCUUCUGACGAACCGUCAUGUCAUUAAUUUGGUGUGGCGGGGAAUCAGGACUGUUACUUUGAAAAAAUUAGAGUGUUUAAAGCAGGCUCGCGCUUGAAUACAUUAGCAUGGAAUAAUGAAAUAGGACGUUCGAUCCUAUUUUGUUGGUUUCUAGGAUUGACGUAAUGAUUAAUAGGGUUAUUGGGGGCAUUAGUAUUCAAUUGUCAGAGGUGAAAUUCUUGGAUUUAUUGAAGACUAACUACUGCGAAAGCAUUUGCCAAGGAUGUUUUCAUUAAUCAAGAACGAAAGUUAGGGGAUCGAAGACGAUCAGAUACCGUCGUAGUCUUAACCAUAAACUAUGCCGACUAGGGAUCGGAUGAUGUUAUUUUUAAUG